rnacentral:pre_miRNA from 1 species
AAUGACACGAUCACUCCCGCUGAGCGAGUGGACGCAGAGCCACGGGGCUGUCGUGUCUGUCC